rnacentral:rRNA from 1 species
UACGUAGGGUGCGAGCGUUAAUCGGAAUUACUGGGCGUAAAGCGUGCGCAGGCGGUUCGUUAAGUCCGAUGUGAAAGCCCCGAGCUUAACUUGGGAAUGGCAUUGGAAACUGGCGGGCUGGAGUGUGGCAGAGGGGGGUGGAAUUCCACGUGUAGCGGUGAAAUGCGUAGAGAUGUGGAGGAACACCGAUGGCGAAGGCAGCCCCCUGGGCCAACACUGACGCUCAUGCACGAAAGCGUGGGGAGCAAACAGG